rnacentral:rRNA from 1 species
UAGUAACGGCGAGUGAAGAGGGAAAAGCUCAAAUUUUGAAUCUGGUGUCUUUGACUCCCGAGUUGUAAUCUAGAGAAGUGUUUUCCGUGUCGGACCACGUAUAAGUUCCCUGGAACGGGGCGUCAUAGAGGGUGAGAAUCCCGUAUACGCCGUGGACUACCGAUGCUCUGUGAUACACUCUCAACGAGUCGAGUUGUUUGGGAAUGCAGCUCAAAAUGGGUGGUAAAUUCCAUCUAAAGCUAAAUAUUGGCGAGAGACCGAUAGCGAACAAGUACCGUGAGGGAAAGAUGAAAAGCACUUUGGAAAGAGAGUGAAACAGUACGUGAAAUUGUUGAAAGGGAAGCGUUUGAAGUCAGUCACGUUUGUUGGGAUUCAGCCUGGCUUCUGCCUGGUGUAUUUCCUAGCCGAUGGGUCAGCAUCAGUUUCGACCAAGGGAAAAAGACAUUUGGAAUGUGGCUGUCUUCGGGCAGUGUUAUAGCCUUGUGUUGUAUGCCUUGGUUGGGACUGAGGAAUGCAGCGCGCCUUAUGGCCGGGGGUCGCUCCUCUCGACACGCGCUUAGGA